rnacentral:rRNA from 1 species
CGGCCUACCAAGGCGAUGAUGCAUAGCCGAGUUGAGAGACUGAUCGGCCACAUUGGGACUGAGACACGGCCCAAAACUCCUACGGGAGGCAGCAGUAGGGAAUCUUCCACAAUGGACGCAAGUCUGAUGGAGCAACGCCGCGUGAGUGAAGAAGGGUUUCGGGCUCGUAAAGCUCUGUUGUUGGUGAAGAAGGACAGGGGUAGUAACUGACCUUUGUUUGACGGUAAUCAAUUAGAAAGUCACGGCUAACUACGUGCCAGCAGCCGCGGUAAU